ensembl:lncRNA CASC15 cancer susceptibility 15
ACUAUUCAAAAAAGGAUGCAAUGGAGAACAUUUACAGAGGACUGUGGGUAAAGCAAAGUCUUCAAGGGAAGAUAACAAAGGAUGAAACAAUGGUGUUGUGUGACUUCCUAGUGUGAAUCAUGGCAAUACAGUGAAAGACAGUGAUUUACUGCUUUUGAGGGCGUGCAUGUAUAUGAUUAACGGAUGGAAGUGCAGGACUCCAAGAUUUACUUCCUUCCCUUUCCAGCAGAAUUACCUGAGACGAGUAAAAUCUACUGGUGGAGUCACUCCAUUAUUCUUAUCUGUGGAGAUCUAGAUCUUGAUUUGAAAGUUUCUGAGAAAAUCUUCAGCUCAGACUUGAGGGUCAACUUUACCAGCUGAAGUGACUACAUCCUGCCUGCUUUCAGCUCCAGUGGAAAAUGCAUUAAUCCCAGAGUCUCCGUGAGGUUUCCUGUUUGAUGACAUAAUCAGAAAAUCCUCCUCACAUUGCCCUUGGGGUUGCUGUCUGGAUGUUAUGUUGUCUUGGAUCUGCAUUUACUGCUCAACCACAUCUAAUUUGAUGUCCUCUGCAGAUUUAAAAUGUGUGCCUUCUUUUCCGUCACCAAGUCAUCCCUGGGUUACUACUGAACAUCCUUCUCAAUUCCCCCCGACCCAUGGAUGGCUGUUCUCCAUUGUCUGUUUCACCAGAUGUCCUCAAAACAAACAGACAGAAGAAGGAAGUGGCUAAUGGUGAGAUUGGAAAUGGGUAUAAUAGAUUCCAGAGUCUGCGGCUCCACAGGGAGUUUUCUGUCCCCUUUCACCAAGUUGCUCUUACACUCUAGGAUUGCAAUGUGGGUUCAGGAGCUGUGGAGUCCAAGUGUGACUGCCAAGAGGAAUCCAGCAAAGCCAAAAAGCCCAAGCAUGUAGCCCUGCCCGAAGCACGCCACACGCAUGGAAAACCCAGAGGAAAUGAGUGAGGAUCAAUGGGAAGAAGAGAGCCAGCCAGGAAGUUGAAGAUUUGUCCAGGAGCAGAUAGCUGAAGAGAGAGAGAGAGAAGAGAGAACGGCUUACAGCUCAGUUCUGGAGACCAGAAGGCCAAAAUCAAAAGUAUGGGCAGGCUUGAUUUCUUUAGAAGACUCCAGCGGAGAACUGUGUCUCCUUGCUUCUGAUUCUACAUCUCCAUCCAUGGGCCACUGUUUCAGCAACCUCAGCCAGUGCAACACAACCUCAGCCAAGAAGAGUAUGCAGAGAAAGGAGUCCCCUACCUGCCACAAAACUGUUGUCUGAAAACUGUCUCAUAUUGUCUCAAGUUGUCAUUCAUUGUGAAUUAGACCUGUUUAACAUGUAAUCU